GGUUGAGUUCCCGUUGAAAGACUUUUCCUACUCACUUUCCUUCAUUUCAUUUAUCCUCUGAAUUGAUUUUCGUAGCAGCUUUUGUGUUGUCACUCUCCACCCUCUCAUUUUGGUUUUAUUUUGCUCCACUUCUCAAAACAAAAAGAAAGAAAGAGUUUGAUACUUUCUACUUCACGCCAUUAAUUUUCGUUGCAGUCAUCUCUUAGUUUGGUUCUGCUUUACUCGAUCCAGUUCUUUUUCUAAAAAAGAAAAAAAAAAUCAAACUUUUUACCUUAAUUUUCGUUGCAGUUUUUUGUGUUAGUAUCCUAUCAUUUUAGUUGUACUCUGCUCCACUUAUCCAAAAAAGAAAAAAGAAAAAAAAAAGUAGUUAAGUAUUUUAAGCUCCUCAACCCUGCUCUCAUUUACUAUAGCGAUUAUCCUUGAUCUGUGAAGUCAUAGAAGAAAAACCUACAAAAAUUGUAGUGUGCAGGAGAGAGUUUUUUUGCUCUGUUUUACUUAUCAAGACUUGUAACGAAGGGAAAAGAAGAAGGUAUAGCCAACUGUUCACAGUUACUGCUACUCAGCAAAGUGACUGUCUGAGUGGAAAACAAAACAAGCUGCUUUGGAAUAGUUUGAGAUCCUAAAGAGAGAGUUUGUUUGCUCUGUUUUACUUAUCAAGACUUGUAACUAAGGGGAAAGCAGAAGGUAUCGCCAACUGUUCACAAUUACUGUUACUUAGCACAUUGAUUAUCCGAGUGGAAAACAAAACAAGCUGUUCUGGAAUAGUUUGAUAUCCUCAAAGGAGAGCAACCAUCCUUGAUCUGCUAAGUCAAAGGAGUAGAAGAGAAACCUGCUCAAAUUGUAGUGUGAAGGAGAGAGUUUCAUUUUAAUUUUCUCUACUUAUCAAGACUUGUAACAAAGCAAAAAGAAGAAGGUAUCGCUAAGUGUCCACGUUUACUGAUACUCAGCAUAGAAAGGAAAACAAGCUGCUCUGGAAUAGUUUGAUGUCCUAAAGGGAGAGCUUUCAGCUUUCCUUUGUAUGCCCGCGUGAAGACAGUGAAAGACUAUCUUCAUUAAUAUUCCAAAGACAGAGGGAGAUGAGAAUGAGGAUGAGAUUGCUUGUAAGAGUUUAGACUUGAUCCAGCCAACUUGCAUCCCGUUCUUCAGUAUAUUUUUUAAAAUAUUUUCUGUAUAAAGUUUGUCAAUUAUCUUGAUGGAUUGGAUUGUCAAAUGAAAAAUACUGAACCAUAGAUUUAUUAGUUUGGUAAGUGAUGACAUGACAAUUCUGACCAAGAAUAUGAUUCUAUGAUUAAAUUUAAGUGAAAUGGAGUGAGUUGAGUUGGUGGAUUCUAGUUAACUCAAUUGGUAAAAUAUUUUAUGCUUCAAUAAGAGAUAUGAUAUUCAAACCUAGCUACACUAAAAAUUAAUUAGUGUUUUAACAUUGAUGAUGUACAAAAUUGUCAGCGAGCUAAUCGUCUACCCGCGCACCAAUUAGGG